AAAACACCCACAUUUGGGUACUGGGUUUCGAUCAGAGAGCAGGGGAAAGAACAAGCAAACCCUUGUUUGCAAAAUUCCAGCAAUAUACUUGAAAUCUCAAGGAGAAUCUAAUGCAUGAGCCCCUAUUUUCGAGUAUCUAACCCUAAUUAGUGAAGUGGCGUGAAGGAAGAAGGAACCAAUACUAGGAAAUCGGAAGGUUCACAAGAUCGAGGUAAAUCCUCAAUGUAGGCGGUCGGACGAUUUGGAAUGAGCACACUUGAUCUACGCCCACUACACGCUUCCGUCAUAAGUUAAUAUAACGUGGUCUAAACUUUUGGUAUUAUGUACUUUAAAUUGUGUAGUAUUUUGAUGACUUUAUGGUUUGGUUAAAAAAUUAUUAGUGGUAGUCUUGUUGUAAACAACUUAAACGUUCCGUUUUGGAUUUUUGUCAAGGAUGUUUUAUGUUGAAAUGGUUUACCGUAUAAAACAGGU